UACGAAGGGGGCUAGCGUUGCGCGGAAUGACUGGGCGUAAAGGGCGCGUAGGCGGUUUGUUUCGUUAGGCGUGAAAUUCCUGGGCUCAACCUGGGGACUGCGCUUAAGACAAGCAGACUGGAGUGUGAAAGAGGGUCGUGGAAUUCCCAGUGUAGAGGUGAAAUUCGUAGAUAUUGGGAAGAACACCGGUGGCGAAGGCGGCGACCUGGUUCAUUACUGACGCUGAGGCGCGAAAGCGUGGGGAGCAAACAGG
rnacentral:rRNA from 1 species